rnacentral:rRNA from 1 species
CACGUAGGGCGCAAGCGUUGUCCGGAAUUAUUGGGCGUAAAGAGCUCGUAGGCGGUCUGUUGCGUCCGCUGUGAAAACUCGGGGCUUAACCCCGAGCCUGCAGUGGAUACGGGCAGACUAGAGGUAGGUAGGGGGGAAUGGAAUUCCCGGUGUAGCGGUGAAAUGCGCAGAUAUCGGGAGGAACACCGGUGGCGAAGGCGAGUCCCUGGACAACACCUGACACUGAGGCACGAAAGCUAGGGGAGCAAACAGG